GCACUAGUCACAGAAGGUGCACUGUGCUGGGUAUAGAAGGAAUCCGGAAAUGACACAGAAUCUCUCUUCAUGGCAAAUUUGAUUCAAAUUUUCCUCCUUUAAAUGUUUUUUUCUCUCUUUCUCUCUCUCUCUCUCUCUUUUUUUUCCCCCACUUUUGAGUAUUUGAGGACAUAAGGAGAGACCAUUCUGAUGAAAAUCAUGAUUCUCUACUUUGGAUGAACUUGGGGGAUCUGAAUUAAAGGUCAGCUGCUGAUAGCCACACAUGCCAUCCCAGCAUUUCUGCCCAGCCUGGCUGCCGCCCACUUCUACCACGUGUGAUGCAUUGCAUCACCAAAAAUGGUCAGAUUUAUUUUAGAGAGCCACAGCACUGGUGGACUUGUUCGUAUGCCCAGAAGCUACGCUUUCUGAGACAAUGUGAGUGGCUGCAAACAGCAAACUAAAGCUGUGGCUGGGAAUCACCGCCUUCUGUCUGAUAAUAGAAAUCUCCUUCUGCGAAAUCCCACUCAAGGAUGCCAUGGGGAUGAAUUCUGCUUCCCUGUGUUUAGAACGUGGUCUGCCACAGAAGAAGCACCCAAGGUACCCCAAACAUCUUUUAUUUUCCUUUACUUGGUCAAAGUUUUCUCUGCCAACAAUGAGUCAUGAAUUCAUCAAAAACAAUGAACUACCUAAAGGAAUAUUGACAGUCUACGGAAAAUCAUCCUCCUUGUGUUUUCAUAAUUGUCAUGGAAAAUUAAGAUCCAAUCAGAGACACAGUCUACGACAUAGGAAACAUAUGAUUCAGAAAACAGUACAGGAUAUUUUUCUUGUUGUCACCAGAUACUCUGAACCAUAGCUACUCACCAAGCAUUGCAGAACGGCUUUGGACUUGAAAGGACUCUUGGGCCAAUGAUUUCCUCACUUUAUGAUCACCAGAGUCACUGAAAGUGAAUUUGAUUGUGCUACAGGAAAAUAACAAAGACAUUAUGUGGUACCAUUCUCUUGUGUUUGACAGAAAAUGUCAUGCUUUUAAUUGAUUCAAUUAAAGAUCAAUUUAAUUGAUCUUUGGAAAAACGGAAGUGAUAGGCAAAACAAAACAAAACGAAAAACAUAAACAAACCAGCAACAGAGGAGGAUGCCAGAGAUGGAUAUUGCCACACAAAAUCUUGGCUCUGUUGAUGAUUUGUA
rnacentral:lncRNA from 1 species